GAGUAAUAAGAGCAUUGGAAAAGUCCACUCUCAGAUCACUGUUUUUUUCCUAAGGGGACUCCAAGAACUGAAGGAAGUGGAAGAAGCUUUUGAGCUCAUCACAGGUCUCACAGCAGAAGACUUCCCUGCGCAUGUACUGGCUGUUCAUCCCUGCAAUGCGAAAGACAAAGCAUAGCCCAGCACUGCAAGUGGUGGCACCCACUUGGGAAUGUGCUUGGAUACAGGAAACUGAUGAGCACUGUCAGGUGUGACUUGCUGUCUCUGGAUCCACCCUGGUACAGGCAGUGAAAAUCACCAACUGUAUACCUCAUCUGCACUCAUGUGACAGUGAAAAAGGCAUGACUUGAUCCACCUGCUUUAUCUGGGGGUUGGGAAGAUGGGAAAGCUCCUGGGAUUUCAGUGGCAUGGAUCAGCAGUGCUUCAAUAGCUCAGAAAUAAGAAACACGAAGUCACAUGUAGAUGUGCGAACCAUUGAAGGCUGUUUAUCCUGUGCUACUGAACUAAGAUUAAGCUCUGAUGUUUUAUAAGAGGAAUUUUCAACUUAGGUGUCUCCACUUUCCUCUCACAAAAAUGGCUUAAAAAAUUCAACUUCAGGUCUUUGACCUCCCACCUGCAAGUUUCAGCUUGUUGAUUUCAUCCCCUGGUGUGUGCAGUUGGAAGGGAGUGGCCUCUUAGGGAAGCCUGUGGGUGCCUUUCACAUCUCUUUGGCUUCCUCCAGUCCUUAGUUUCUUUAAGAAUAGAGGACAACUUCUUUGUCUUGACACUCAGCUUAACUGUUCUGUUUUUCACCCUAACAGCUUAAAAUCAAGAGCAGCAAAUUUAAAUAAGUCUAGAGGCUGGAAGGUCACAUGCAUUCAUUCUAGUUUUAAAAAGCAUUAUUAUUAUUGUGUGUGAAUGGGCAGGGCACGUGCAUCACAGUGUACACCACAGUGGAGGUCAGAGGACAACUUUGUGGAAUUGGUUUUCUCCUUUUACGUUUUGGUGGGCUCCAGGAAUUAAUACUUUUAUCUGCUGAGCCAUCUUGCUGACCCUGUUCUGGGUAUUUUUUUGUAUAUGAUUCUCAUGCUCACUUAAAUUCUAUCAGGCUCAGUAUGUUUAAAUUUUUUGUUUCCUCAUUAAAAAAAUAAAAUCAUGGUUAUACAGAACAAAUUUCUCUUUUUAAAUAUGACAGUAGGUUAGGCAGGCAUGUAAUCAGAGUAUUUGGGAGGUGGAGGCAAGAAGAGUGAGGCUAGCCUGGACUACAUGAGAGAGACCCCUGCCUUAACUUCCAGGAUUGCCUCAGUGUUAAAUUUCUCCAAUUAACAACUGAGCUGUGAAUAAAGAAUGGCCAUGUUCUUAGAAAGGAUACAUUGAAGUGUGUAGGAGUAAAAGGUUAUAAUGUAUCACCUUAUUCUCAAAUGGGUCAGAAAAAUAUAUAAGGAGAUAAAGUGUAAAAUAAGACAGACAAGCAAUGACUGAUGUAUCUGGGUCUGUGGUCAUGGAGUUCUUUGAAUUCUUUUUUUUCUUUCCCUUUUUCUUCAAUGCUGGGAAUCAAACCCAUAGCCUCAUGCAUGCUACUGAAGCUCUCUACUGCUUACUGGUAUCUGUAGACCUGAUUUACCCUUGUAACUUUUUGUAAUCUUGAGAUCAGUUGCAUAUGAAAUUUUAAAGAAAUGUUUCUUUCAGGGCCUUCUAGACGACUUCCCUGGUAAAGGUACCUGCCACUAAGCCUGGUAAACAGAGUUCAAUCUCUAGGACCCACAGGUGGAAGGAAAGAACCGACUCUCAUAAGUUUUCUUCUGACUUCCACACACAUGCUAUGGAGCAUGUGUAUGUGCAUGCAUGCAUGCAAGCACACACACACACACAGUUUAUAAAAAAUAAUAAAAACCUUACUUUCAUAUCCUUAAAAGAGAAGAAAACAUUUUCCAUUUUCUUUCCCAUUUAGCG